GGCCACGCUUCAGGUUGGACCGUCUUCCAUAUAUCUACUGACUUCAUAUAAAUGAAAGUGUACUAAAGGCUCACUGAUCUACACUACCAGCUCAUGCUCAACGUUACUGAACAACAAAGUAAUCCGACAAUCAGACUGGACCCGGUCAUGUUAGAAUCCAGAGGUAGGAAAUGAACAUACAAUCGACUCCGCAUCGAUGCAUGACCUCUCCCGGAACGCGUCAAGAAUUAACAAUGGAAGAAAAUACUACAGACGUGUUUACUAACAAUAAAGUUAUUUUUGUUUUUAUGAAAUAGCGAUUGAAUAAAAAUAUUA